AGUUUUCUCUUAGGUUAAUUGCUACCUAAAGAUAAGCCUACAUUAUACAACUGUCAAGCUGACUGGAGGGUGAAGUUGACAGAUGGCCCUGCCUUACUUCUCCAAAUAAUGAAUGUUGUGUUAUUGACCUUCCUAUGACCGAUGAUUCUACCUUGGCUGCCUGCAAAACAGGAAACAAAUGUAAUGAAAUCUCUGAAAUGAGAAAUAAACGAUAAAGGAGAAGAAUGGUUGUGAGGCCCAGAAAAAAUAUCACCAUAUCAUAGGUUCUAGAGACAUAAGAGAGAAAGACAGGAAAAUAAUCCACUUUACAACUCUCUGCGUCACAAGAAGAAAAUGGUGAAGGGAGCUUUCCUAGAAUAAAAGAUUCAGAGAUUC